rnacentral:rRNA from 1 species
GAUGAACGCUGGCGGCGUGCCUAAUACAUGCAAGUCGAGCGAAUGGAUUAAGAGCUUGCUCUUAUGAAGUUAGCGGCGGACGGGUGAGCAACACGUGGGUAACCUGCCCAUAAGACUGGGAUAACUCCGGGAAACCGGGGCUAAUACCGGAUAAUAUUUUGAACUGCAUGGUUCAAAAUUGAAAGGCGGCUUCGGCUGCCACUUAUGGAUGGACCCGCGUCGCAUUAGCUAGUUGGUGAGGUAACGGCUCACCAAGGCAACGAUGCGUAGCCGACCGGGGAGGGUGAUCGGGCACACCGGGACUGAGGCACGGCCCAGACUCCUACGGGAGGCAGCAGUAGGGAAUCUUCCGCAAUGGACGAAAGUCUGACGGAGCAACGCCGCGGGGGUGAUGAAGGCUUUCGGGUCGUAAAACUCUGUUGUUAGGGAAGAACAAGUGCUAGUUGAAUAAGCUGGCACCUUGACGGUACCUAACCAGAAAGCCACGGCUAACUACGUGCCAGCAGCCGCCGUAA